GACGAACGCUGGCGGCGCGCUUAACACAUGCCAGUCGAACGGAAAGGCCUGCUUUCCCUUGUGGAUUGCGGGUACUCGAGUGGCGAACGGGUGAGUAACACGUGAGUGAUCUGCCCCCAACUUGGGUAUAAGCCUGGGAAACUGGGUCUAAUUCCCGAUAGGACUGCAGGGUGGUGCCUGUGGUGGAAAACGAUUUUCUAGUGGUUGGUGAUGAGCUCGCGGCCUAUCAGCUUGUUGGUGGGGUAAUGGCCUACCAAGGCGGCGACGGGUAGCCGGCCUGAGAGGGUGGACGGCCACAUUGGGACUGAGAUACGGCCCAGACUCCUACGGGAGGCAGCAGUGGGGAAUAUUGCACAAUGGGCGGAAGCCUGAUGCAGCGACGCCGCGUGGGGGAUGACGGCCUUCGGGUUGUAAACUCCUUUCGACCGCGAGGAAGCCACCUGGUUGGAAGGGUGGUGACGGUAGUGGUAGAAGAAGCACCGGCUAACUACGUG
rnacentral:rRNA from 1 species